CAGCCGCCGCGGGAAUACGUAGGGUGCAAGCGUUAAUCGGAAUUACUGGGCGUAAAGCGUGCGCAGGCGGUUAUAUAAGACAGAUGUGAAAUCCCCGGGCUCAACCUGGGAACUGCAUUUGUGACUGUAUAGCUAGAGUACGGCAGAGGGGGAUGGAAUUCCGCGUGUAGCAGUGAAAUGCGUAGAUAUGCGGAGGAACACCGAUGGCGAAGGCAAUCCCCUGGGCCUGUACUGACGCUCAUGCACGAAAGCGUGGGGAGCAAACAGGAUUAGAUACCCGUGUAGUCCCUGUCUCUUAUAC
rnacentral:rRNA from 1 species